AUACAGAGGGUGCGAGCGUUAAUCGGAAUUACUGGGCGUAAAGCGCGCGUAGGCGGCUUAUUAAGUCAGAUGUGAAAUCCCGGGCUCAACCUGGGAACUGCAUCUGAUACUGGUAAGCUAGAGUUUUGGAGAGGGAAGUAGAAUUUCAGGUGUAGCGGUGAAAUGCAUAGAGAUCUGAAGGAAUACCAGUGGCGAAGGCGACUUCCUGGCCAAAAACUGACGCUGAGGUGCGAAAGCGUGGGUAGCAAACGGGAUUAGAAACCCCAGUAGUCC
rnacentral:rRNA from 1 species